GCGCCCGGCCACUGCCUCGUAAACCACGCCGUAGCUGCCGCGCCCGAUCUCUGCCAACAGGCUGUACCGCGGCCGCGCCGACCCGCCGCCGCCCUCUGGCCGCCGCCGCGCCAGAGUGGUUCCACCAAUUCCGGUCUACAGCUCUGCCUGUGUGUGAGUUGGGAAUCCUGAUGAGCAAGACGGGUUCCCUGUUGAUGACGAAAUCUCGCUGCAUUGUGAAGAAAGGUGCCAUGUUCAUCAAUAGAGUUCUCCUUUGCUGAACGUCAUGGUAACAACUAACAUUUAAGAGACACUUACCAGCAGCCCUUUCAGGUGUGAAGCGGGAAGCCACGGGUGCCUUCCUUGGCAAGAUCCCCAACAGACAUGUGCUGGAACUGGUUCCUCCAGGCCCAUUAGAGCUGAUCGUGUGCGUGUCUUCCCAGCGUGUGCGUGUCUUCCCAGCUCUGCUCGGUGGUGUCCCAUUGGCAGCUUGAAAUUGGCCACGGUGGGAGAAGUUACCCCAUGGGAACUGGCAAACCCUACAGAUCAAGGCUCCUUCCGCCGCCUCCCCACCCCCAUCCUUCCCCCAAAUGAGUGAACGUCCUUGUGGCUUGGAAAUAGUAAGAGUACUUCCCUUCUAGGUUAUUCAGUUCGAUAAAGUAUGUAAAGCAUA